rnacentral:rRNA from 1 species
ACAUGCAAGUCGAGCGAACAGAAGGGAGCUUGCUCCCGGAUGUUAGCGGCGGACGGGUGAGUAACACGUGGGUAACCUGCCUGUAAGACUGGGAUAACUCCGGGAAACCGGAGCUAAUACCGGAUAGUUCCUUGAACCGCAUGGUUCAAGGAUGAAAGACGGUUUCGGCUGUCACUUACAGAUGGACCCGCGGCGCAUUAGCUAGUUGGUGGGGUAAUGGCUCACCAAGGCGACGAUGCGUAGCCGACCUGAGAGGGUGAUCGGCCACACUGGGACUGAGACACGGCCCAGACUCCUACGGGAGGCAGCAGUAGGGAAUCUUCCGCAAUGGACGAAAGUCUGACGGAGCAACGCCGCGUGAGUGAUGAAGGUUUUCGGAUCGUAAAGCUCUGUGGUAAGG